rnacentral:misc_RNA from 1 species
GGAAUUCCUUACUUUCAAUCAGGUCAAUUAUGGUGUCUUUGUACGUAGUCCUAUAAAUUAGGACACUUCUAAAACCUUCCUUCUGCACUCAGAAAUUUCGAAAAGUAUAGCAAAAACAGAGCAAAAAAAAGACAGAGAUAUGGAAACUGUGGAAGAUGUGGUGAUCGUUGGUGCUGGAAUAGCAGGGCUGGCCACCGCAGUAGCCUUGAAGAGAGUUGGGGUUCGAUCUUUGAUCUUAGAGAAAUCAGAAACGCUCCGAUCCACUGGUGCAGCCUUAACCCUCACACCAAAUGCUUGGCUUGCUCUUGAUGCUCUUGGCGUUUCUCAU